AGCAGCCGCGGUAAUUCCAGCCCCAAUAGCGUAUAUUAAAGUUGUUGCAGUUAAAAAGCUCGUAGUUGAAUUUCGAGAUCAAAUUGUUGGUCGUGCCUCGGUACGUACUGGCAUUAUUGAUUUCUCCCUUCUGACGAUCCGCGAUGUCAUUAAUUUGGUGUCGUGGGGAAUCAGGACUGUUACUUUGAAAAAUUAGAGUGUUUAAAGCAGGCUCACGCUUGAAUACAUUAGCAUGGAAUAAUGAAAUAGGACGUUUGAUUCUAUUUUGUUGGUUUCUAGGAUCGACGUAAUGAUUAAUAGGGAUAGUUGGGGGCAUUAGUAUUCAAUUGUCAGAGGUGAAAUUCUUGGAUUUAUUGAAGACUAACUACUGCGAAAGCAUUUGCCAAGGAUGUUUUCAUUAAUCAAGAACGAAAGUUAGGGGAUCGAAGACGAUCAGAUACCGUCGUAGUCUUAACCAUAAACUAUGCCGACUA
rnacentral:sRNA from 1 species